rnacentral:lncRNA from 1 species
AUGUUAAUGGGUAUGAAUACCUAAAAUAUUAUUCGAAUCCGAAUCCGAAUGGAGCGGGUUUAUCGGACCUAAAUGGAUAUGGAUUCGAUUAUGGGUAUAGAAAAUAAAAACCCAACUGAUAUGAAUGCCGGUAUGGAUUUUAUAUUUACCCGACCCGAGCCCGAACCCGAAUAAAUUAUAUAUAUAUAUAUUAGUUAUUUAUUUAUACAAUACAUAAUAUAUGUAUUGUUAUAUUUAAUUAUUUGAAUUUGUGUUUUUCUUAUUCAGAUAUUAAUAUUGUAUGGCAUGAAUGUUUAAUGUUGUAUUUGAUUGUAUUUUGAAAUUUUUGAUUUUAUUAUAAUAUAUUUUGUAAUAUGUAAAGAUAAAUUAUUAUUUCGGGUUCAGAUUUUCGGAUUCGGGUUUGGAUUUGGGUUUCGGAUUUAUGGUCGGGUCGGAUAUGCGUAUGGAUUUUUAAAACCUGGCCGGUUCUGGUCUGAGUUCGGGUUUCAAUUUGAUUUUUGGAUUCAAGUUCGAAUUUUUAAAAAUCCGAUCCAAACCCGAUCCGUUGACAUCCCUAAUUUAAAGAUGCAUAUAGUUUUUGUUUGAUUUUGUACCCGUAGCCGUUCUUUUUUUGGUUUGUAGCUUAAGAUUUUUUUAUUUACAUUGAGUAAUUUGAUUCUCGGUCGAAUAUUGUAUUUAAAAUUGCAGAAAAAUAUUAAUAGCCAAAUCAAAGUACAAAAACCACAUAGAUCUUUUCAUACCUCUUUUGUUGCGGAAUUAUAUUACGAUUAUCAGGAUCUGAACUCGUCUUCUUUUACGAAUCCUUUAAUCCGUCAACAAUCUGUCUCGAUUUCUCGCACGCUGUUUUUUCUCGUUGCUAAUCGGCUAUCAGAGUCGAUUGUAGCACACCUCCUA